AGGAGCAGCUGGCUCGGCUUAUGCAAGCACAGGCUCAAGCUCCCUCCCACACUAGAGUGCCGGUUUUCAGUCCGAAUGUUGAGCCUUAUCCCGUAUAUGAGGAGGAUGAUGUGGACGAUGUGGAUGAUGUUGAGGAUUGAUGUUUUAGGUCCUUUAUGAUAUAUUCUCUUUUGGCUUUUAUCUAUAUAAUUUCUAGGUCUGUAAUACUUGGGGAAGUUUCUUAUACUUCCUAGCACAAUUUCUACCUAUUUGAUACUUAUGGUGUUUAAUAUUUGGUACAAUUUUAAUUUCAAUGCUCC
rnacentral:lncRNA from 1 species